AGCGAACGCUGGCGGCAGGCCUAACACAUGCAAGUCGAACGGAUCCUUCGGGAUUAGUGGCGGACGGGUGAGUAACACGUGGGAACGUGCCCUUUGGUUCGGAACAACUCAGGGAAACUUGAGCUAAUACCGGAUGUGCCCUUCGGGGGAAAGAUUUAUCGCCAUUGGAGCGGCCCGCGUCUGAUUAGCUAGUUGGUGAGGUAACGGCCCACCACGGCGACGAUCAGUAGCUGGUCUGAGAGGAUGAUCAGCCACACUGGGACUGAGACACGGCCCAGACUCCUACGGGAGGCAGCAGUGGGGAAUCUUGCGCAAUGGGCGAAAGCCUGACGCAGCCAUGCCGCGUGAAUGAUGAAGGUCUUAGGAUUGUAAAAUUCUUUCAGCGGGGACGAUAAUGACGGUACCCGCAGAAGAAGCUCCGGCUAACUUCGUG
rnacentral:rRNA from 1 species